AUUCUGGGACAACUAUCAUGGGUUCCUGAGUAGCAGCUUCACAGGAAAUGUUUUGCAUUUAAGAUUUUUGACAGGGAUUAACAAACUGCACCUUUCACUUUAAGGCAGAAUGGCUGAAGGUGUUGCCAAAUAGGGCGGAGCUUUUACUUGAAGAUUUAUGGGAAACCUGUGACAGUUUCCUGAAAUCUAAAACUGUGGAGUCAUUUCUAACCUACAAUAAGAAUGAUGCAUUUUAUGCUGCUUUUUAGCCGUCAAGGCAAAUUGAGGCUCCAGAAGUGGUACACUGUGAUGGUUGAUAAGGAGAAGAAAAAGAUUGCGAGGGAACUUGUUCAGAUUGUGCUGAGUCGACAAGCCAAAAUGUGCAGCUUUGUGGAAUGGCGGGAUCUCAAAAUUAUUUAUAAAAGGUUUGCUAGCUUAUAUUUUUGUUGUGCGAUAGACGAACAAGAUAAUGAACUCCUGACACUGGAAAUCAUCCAUCGUUAUGUGGAACUGCUGGAUAAGUAUUUUGGCAAUGUUUGUGAACUAGACAUCAUCUUUAAUUUUGAGAAGGCCUACUUUAUACUGGAUGAAUUUCUAAUUGGAGGAGAGAUGCAGGACACCUCGAAGCUCAGUAUACAUAAAGCAGUGGAGGAAGCUGAUAUGAUGCAAGAGACUAUGGAAGAAUAUUUAGCCAAGCCAACAUUUUAACUUGGAGUUUAGAAGGCCUGAAGGAUGAACCUAAUUUAUGAAAUGUAUACAUAGAUUUAUAGUGUAUUUUCAGUGUCUUAAAAUCUAGAAGAAUAUAUUUUGCUACUGCUAUGUAUUGUGGAAAAUAUACCAUGUCAACUAAAGCGCAGUUAGCACUGUAAAAUGUUCAGGCAUUAUUUAUAACGUUUUUGUAUUCAUAAAUCCCAAUGUACUUUUUGUUCCAAGAUUUCCAUUGGCAAUGAGCAGGAGAUAUGGUGCUUCACUGCGUGUUUUUGUUUUAAAUAAUAUGCAUUUAGAUAAAUCUCCAACUGGGUAAAAUGGAAGCACUUCAAAAAUAACUAUAAUUAAAAGUAAUUUGAUAUAGGCAUUUACUACAAAAAAAUAUUCCCCUCUGGAAUGUACCAAGUUCGGAUGGAGACCUGGAAUUGUCAGUUAAUCCAAUGGUAUGGUGAAAAUUAUCACUUCCAAAUCAGUUUUUAUCUUGUGAGAUGGUUUUGCAAGCUGAGGGACCUGUUGCUUUAAUGUUUUAGGUAGACUGAAGAUCUUAAGAAUUCGAAAGCAUCUAAUAGUCCACGAAAAGAACUGAUUUUAUAAAUUCCAGGUUAUUUGAGCUGAUGAAACAACAACAAAAUCUGAAUGAAGCACUUGGAUAUUUUGUGACCUAAUGUUGAGUACACAUUUUAGAUCCCAUUUUAUUAUUUUGAGGAUGGUUCCAUUAUGGCCUCAAAGUCAAGAUCAUCUGUUCAAACCCAUCUCUGACAUUAAACCUAAAGUGUGAAUUAAACUUCCAUCCUGUACUGUUAGAAAUCUGCAUGGUCCAUCUGGUGUGAACCCAAAAAAUCAUAACUGUGCAUGAAGAACAAUGUUAUUUCCUCCAAAGCCAUUGAUACAACAAUCAUUUAUUAUUUUUCCCUUUACAAAUUUGUGGGUUAAAUAUAAUCAAAUUUCUUUAAGAUGCUAACCCCAUCUCUGGCUCAUGUAAACCAUUACAUCCAAUAUCAGUUGGAAAUACCGAAUAAGGUUAUAAUUUUCACACAAUCUUCUGUACGAACUCAACUCAUGUGAUAAAUGUCACUGUUGUACCUAGAGUUAAUUGAUAAUUUUGCAGAUUAUUUUGUCACAAGUUGUCUUAUUUGUGCCCAAAGGGUUUUCUGCAAGAUUUGAUUUCUUGCACUCUAUUUUGUUGUGCUGUUGUGCAGCUCUGAUUCACUGUUGAUGUAUGUAAUGUAAAGUAUUUACACUUUGAAGAUUAAUCUGACAAAUCCCCAAAUCUCCAUCUGUGAUGUUUCCAUUUCAGCAAAUUAUCACUUCACAAAGCGAAAAACAUAUGUACCCUUCAACAAAUCUCACAGGUGUUUAAUGUAAUUUCUCAAAUGUUUCUAUUGGAAAAGCUGAGAUGCUUCCAUCGUGAACUAGAAAAUGUAUUCAAGGCCAUUUUUUUCAUUUGACGAAUUUAGCAAACCAAUUGUGUCUUAAGGAGUUGUAUAUGAGAAAUUAAUUGCAGAAAUGGAAAUAAAAUUAGAAUCAAAUUUC